UACAGAGGGUGCAAGCGUUGUUCGGAAUUACUGGGCGUAAAGCGUGCGUAGUCGGUAUUGAGAGUCGCGGGUGAAAUCCCAGGGCUUAACCCUGGAACUGCCUGCGAGACCUCAGUACUAGAGUGUGAGAGGGGAUAGUGGAAUACCCAGUGUAGCGGUGAAAUGCGUAGAGAUUGGGUGGAACACCGGUGGCGAAGGCGGCGUUCUGGACUGUAUCUGACACUGAGGAACGAAAGCCAGGGGAGCAAACGGG
rnacentral:rRNA from 1 species